CAGCUGCUAUCUGCAGACCUCCUGGACUGCCCGGGGAAGGGAGUGGGAGCUCCUGCCACAGAUGGGUGGAACAUCGACAAGAAGGGCUAAAGGUGGCCAAAAAUAACAGUGCCUUCCAGAUGAGGUGACCUCAGAGCCAAGAGCAUCAUGGGCUGGUGGCCUGCCAAUCACAGGACAUCAGUAUGCACAGCGCCUCCUCCAGGUUCAGCUUCGACAUCUUCCUGCGGAGGGCCUACUCCAAUCGCAGGACUUUCAGUUGGCCUUUUAAAAAGAUGAGGACCUACCUCUACAGAAAAGUGGUUCAGCUGCUUGGACAUGGUGGCACACCCCUCUACUGCUGGCACCCUGGAGGAGUACACAGCAGUUCCUGGCACUUAGUAGAUACCUGUCUUCAGGAGUUCAAAGCCUACACUGCCAGAAGAAGUUAGCUAAAACAACUUUUGGAAGAAGAGAAUCACUCAGUCAUAGUCAAACUACUCAAAGAC
rnacentral:lncRNA from 1 species